rnacentral:tRNA from 1 species
UCCCUGGUGGUCCAGCAGCUAAGGCUCCAUGCUUCCAAUGCAGGGGGCCCAGGUUCAAUCCCUGGUCAGGGAG